UGGCCCGAUUAAGACCCUGAGAAUGGAAAAAAUAGAGGAAAAACUAAGGGAAAACAUAAGAAAAAUCAAUGGAAACAAAGGAAGGAUGGAAAAAUUAAAAGGCAUGACCUUUUUCCACAUGGAUUGAUUAUUUUUUUUUUCUCAUUUCUUUCUCUUUUUUGGAGAUCUUUGGGAAGGAAAGCACCAGAAGGAGAUUGGAGGGGGAAG
rnacentral:lncRNA from 1 species